rnacentral:rRNA from 1 species
GAUGAACGCUGGCGGCGUGCCUAAUACAUGCAAGUCGAGCGAACGGACGAGAAGCUUGCUUCUCUGAUGUUAGCGGCGAACGGGUGAGUAACACGUGGAUAACCUACCUAUAAGUCUGGGAUAACUUCGGGAAACCGGAGCUAAUACUGGAUGAUAUUUUGAACCGCAUGGUUCAAAGGUGAAAGACGGUCUUGCUGUCUCUUAUAGAUGAAUCCGCGUGGCAUUAGCUAGUUGGUAAGGUAACGGCUUACCAAGGCGACGAGGCAUAGCCGACCGGAGAGGGGGAUCGGCCACACGGGAACGUGGACAGGCACCAGAGGCCUACGGGAGGCAGCAGACGGCAAUGUGCGGCAGCGGUGGGAAGUAUUACGCAGUGAGGCGGCGUGAGAGACGGAGGCGUUGCGUGCGUAAAGCUCGGUUACUGGGUAAGAACAUAUGUGAAAGUAGCAGUGGAGAUCUUGACGGUACCUGAUCAAGAAGCCACGGCUAACUACGUG